rnacentral:rRNA from 1 species
CUGUGCCGGGAGGGGCUCGCGGCCUAUCAGCUAGUUGGUGGGGUAACGGCCCACCAAGGCGACGACGGGUAGCGGGUCUGAGAGGACGGCCCGCCACAUUGGGACUGAGACACGGCCCAG